CCGCUGUUUCUCUCUCUCGACACGCUGAAAAUCUUCAUGUCUGCUGCCGCCGUGACUGCAGCAUCUGGCCGCACUGCCUGGCCGAAAGAUGCCCUAUGCUACCAGUGUGCUCUUCGAAUGUCAAUGCUGUUCGAUUACCCUCCUCCACGAGCGAUGGGGCAGCUUCCGCCUUCUCUCGCAUCAGGAGUCGUCUCUGCCCCUUCCGACGAUACAGUGCCGAUGCUGGACGAUGACCACCAUCCACUGUUCACUCUCGUCCAUGAGACUCCUCGGAGCGCGCGUCGCUACUUUCGCGGCGCCCUGCAACCGACUGUCACCACAGUAGACGGUCUGCAAGCGCCACGUCCGGCUGGCGCACCUGAAGUGGAGGAGACCACAGCUGCAGCGUCCACGGCGCAUGGUAUGCUUGGGGGUGAUACUGCUCCCAAAUACGCAGUAUCGUGGUUGUGUGUUGCGUGCAUGGGACUGUACCAGUUCAUCGACCUCAUUCACGCCCCUUUGGCGGCGGCUGCAGUGCGGGCAAGCCCGUUUUACGAUUCUGAGGCCAUCACCAUCAACGUGAACAUUAACCGUAGCUUCACUUUCACGUGGCUGGCUGUGGCAACCCGUUACUUCGACCUCAAAGGAACAGGCACGGAAAGACCGUUGCCGUCGUCGGUCGUGAAGGAGGAGCUGAGCAAUUUCAAGGACUUUUACAUGAGCGAUUUGCGUGCACGCAUUCUUCCCUAUCUGUUGUACUCACACGACGAUGUAGCGGCCUCAAGCGUGUCGGCGGCAGCCAUCAGGAGAACCACGCAGCUUCCUGGGCUCGCCGUGUAUGUCGACGCCGUUGGGGCGACGCUGCCAGAUCAUGCGAGAGAGGCGGGAAAGGAGGCCGCUGCAGGAGAGCCCGUCAUCAAGCGCGCACGAACCGCGGUGACUGCCGUUGUUUCUGGGUCGGCGAGCUCUUCUAGGGCGGCUGCUCCAGAUCGCGGCGGAACCAGGCCUGCUCUCGUCGCGCUGCAAGCGUUCCGCUACAGCGGGGCAAGCGAGAGCCUCGUCGGAGAAGUGUUUUGUCGUCAUCACGCCACGGAGGGUCUGAUCACCGAUGGGCACAUGCCCUCUGCGUACUGCGGAAACCGCUCUACCGAGGUGCUUCCGUACAGCGUCAUCUACGACUAUGCAGUGCCGUAUCUUACCAAGGCCGGAUGGAUGCCGGCGACAGCGACGGCCGCGAGAGAGGAAGGACAAGAGGAUUGUCGAACGACUGCCCGGCAGGCAGCCACAGUCUCCUGCCGACUGCAUCACACGAACAUCUACCUCAUGGGAAGCUAUCGCAAAAUGAUGCGCAACAUGUCACAGUCUCCGUGGUUCCUGAAUGGGCAGCGCAUCGGCUCAUUCUCACUCCAGGAGGUCAUCGCAAACCCGCUGCUGCCCUUCUUCUUUCCGGAUAUGCCUGCCCUGCCUCCCGAGACAGCGGAGUCGCCCGCGUUGCCCGCCAGAGACGAAGGGGAAUCGACAUCAGCUGCACCUCUGGCGGUAGAGCGCGGCGCCCACGCGACACGCUGGCAGGCUGUCACCCCGUCCGUCGCCUCAUCCAACCUCGUCUUCGGCUACAAUCGCUACAAGUUUCACAGCGCCGGCCGCGAGGAUGUGGAUGUGCGGAUGCUCGGUGAGGGGCGGCCGUUUGUGCUGGAGUUUGUUUCGCCGAUCCGUGAGCGCUUCACCGAGGAAGAUCUGCGCCGCCUCGAGGCGUCCAUUUGCUCCAGCCACGAGGGCAGCGUAGAAGUGCGUCAGCUGCGUCGGACGGAUGCGGACAUCACCGUCCGCCUCGCCCGUCAUUCGGAGAGCAAGGUGAAGCAGUAUCGCUGCGUCAUCUGGUCUAGCCGUGCCAUCGACGACGUGGCUACCGACCCCCAUGUGCGUACCAUUCACGCUAUGAGGGACUUGCCGAUCCAGCAGAAGACGCCCCUGCGUGUGCUGCACCGACGCUCGCUGCAUCGUCGGCCGCGGCUGAUUCACUCGAUGAGGCUGACGCCUCUCAACACGCAUUGGUUCCUGCUCGAUCUCGAAACUCAGGCUGGAACCUAUGUGAAGGAGUUUGUGCACGGUGAUAUGGGUCGCACGACGCCGCACUUGGGCAUGCUGCUGAAUGCCCGCACGGACAUCAUUCAGUUGGAUGUCGUUGGGAUAGCCAUACACGACUUCGACCAAGAAUGAUGCGUUUGCGAGCGUUCUGCAAACUAAUGGAAAGUGAGGGGUGGCGGUAGCGGCUCGACGAGCGAAGGUGCCUGCGGUACAGGCCGAGUUUGUGCAUACUGAGCUGCAUCUGACGUGCCGUCUCGAUGCCGACGUUGAACAGCGCGCACCCCCUUUUCUCCGUUCCCCUUUCGAGUAACUAAGACAUAUACGCAGACGGGGGCGCACUGACUCAUGUGUGUCUCUCUGUUGUGCACAAAAAAAAGCAAGCAAGCAACAGCGGCGAGGUAUCUGGCACCGCGAUGACGGAGUCUCUCCCUCGCUUCCGUGACGUGACAAGUCCUCCGCUCCACGUAGCGAUGCUUACUGCUGGUCCUACCGCAGCCCAGUGGCAGUAUCUUCGUGGCGGAAUGCACCACCUUUUCUAGUGGCUUGGUGAUGCUCUGUUGAAUCCGUGGGAGGUGACCAGUGGCUGCAUCUUGACGCGCUGCUGUCUCGUCGCGUAAAAGGGCGAGGGCGUUGUUCACACAAGGCACCUUUACUCCGCGUGCCAUCUCCUUUUCCCUACUGGUAACACACUCCACACCUGUCUUCCCUUUCUCCGUUCCAAG
rnacentral:misc_RNA from 1 species